UGUAUCUCCCUCUACGCCUAUACCAGAAUCUACCACACCUCCAUUUCAGGAAGGUGACCCUAUUCAAGUUCGUUUGGACUCUGCUACACAAGUAGCAUAUGAUGUUUCAUAUCGUUUGGUUACCUGGCACUUACAAUUAAAUAAAUGGUUGGUUUCCACACAAUAUUCCAAUUGUACGCCAUUCGUAUCAGUACAGGAAAGAGCUUUUCAGUGGUGGUUUUUUGAAAGCAUGUUGUAUAAUGUAUCACUUCGAUCACACCAUCACCCUAGACGAGAUAUUUUAGCUACUGGGUUAGGUACAUAUGGUAGUGUCGUGGGAUCAGCUGCACAAAUUAAUUCGGAAAUUCUAAGAUAUAAACUUGCUUCUUUAGCCUCUCAUACUUCUACAGGUCUGGAUACCCAAUAUGGUAUUAAUACUAAUAUUGUUAAGCUUCAACAGCAUCAAACUCAUGUUAUGGUAGAUACAACUGAGAUUAUUUCUGAUAAGUUUCACACUCUGGUCGACUCAGUUUACAAUUUUACUCGUGAUACUGCAUGGGCAAUGCUAUGUUCACAGGUUCAGGCUGAUCUGUCUACCGAUCUUAAACUUCAGUUGCAAAGUUUAUGGUCAGGUAGAUGGCCUGCUUCGUUGAGUCGUGCUGCUUCAAAAUCUGUGACUGACUUUGCGAUGACAUCUUUUGUGGUGGGAAGUUCUUCUAUCUGACUGCUCACUUGAAAAAUGUGCCAUUCAUACAUUAAUACCAUGGGCAGGCAAAGAUGCUAUUAUUUAUCGUUUAGCUACAAUUGGCCUACCGUCUAACGGGUCAUUAUUAUUGCCUGAACUAUCACAUCAAUGGGUAGCCCAGGGUACGGAUAGUUCUAACUGGACCCUUGUAGACAUUUCUUUGUGUCACUCUGUUCUCCAUCCCAAUAUAAAACUACUACUGAAACAUGUUGGGUUAAUCAGGAUGAAUAUAGUUUUCAUGGUCAAUUUAAUGUUACAAAUCCUGUCUACUACUUGGGGUUAGAUCGUGUUUGUUUUCACUUAUUUCAGCCUGAUCAAAUUAUUUUUAAAAC